UCGAAGACGCUCUACACGAUGAAGGAUCAAUGUAAAACGCAUUGAAGAACGAAAUAUGGGCGCCAUAAUGGUUCAUAUUCAAAAUUCAUGAAAAUGUGAUAACGAAGACAAAAGUAAUAUGCAACUAGAUCACAAAUAUAGACACGCAAUUUUCAACGGAGACUUAGGAACAAUUAUUGCUUAGUACUGUCACGCUCUUCAAACAUGAAUCUCCGUGGCCGCGAGCUAAAUGCGGCCAAUAGAAUCAAUAUUUGUUUUUCUGCGUGUGAGGUUUCUUUCUUACAGCCCAGUAGCCCUCACCAAUUCAAUCAUAAUAU